GUGAAGGAUGACGGCCUCUGGGUUGUAAACUUCUUUUAUCUGGGACGAAAAAGAUCAUUCCUGAUCACUUGACGGUACCAGAGGAAUAAGCACCGGCUAACUCCGUGCCAGCAGCCGCGGUAAUACGGAGGGUGCAAGCGUUAUCCGGAUUUACUGGGUUUAAAGGGUGCGUAGGUGGGUCUGUAAGUCAGUGGUGAAAUCUCCGAGCUUAACUCGGAAACUGCCAUUGAUACUAUAGGUCUUGAAUUAUCUGGAGGUAAGCGGAACACGUCAUGUAGCGGUGAAAUGCUUAGAUAUGACAUAGAACACCAAUUGCGAAGGCAGCUUACUACGGAUCGAUUGACACUGAGGCACGAAAGCGUGGGGAUCAAACAGGAUUAGAUACCCUGGUAGUCCACGCCCUAAACGAUGGAUACUCGACAUUUGCGAUAUACUGUAAGUGUCUGAGCGAAAGCAUUAAGUAUCCCACCUGGGAAGUACGAUCGCAAGAUUG
rnacentral:rRNA from 1 species